GGGACCAGCAAGGCAACCAAGAGGUUAUUAGGCAGAUGAAGCUGGGAACAGCAUCUGAGGCAGAAGGAAGAGCUUGUACAAAGCCUGAUGUGUUUGGAGAAAUAUGUGCAGGAGGAAAGGUGUUGGGCACAGCUAUGUUCCUGGAUGGCGUAUGCUUCCAGCAUUUCCAGGUGGGCAUCAGUGCCAGGCAAUGCAGAGCAAGGCUUGUGGCAACCCUCUGGAUCUCUGUACCAUGAGGCUGGAGGGAGAGAGAUGGAGGGUGGGACCCAGUCUAAAUCCAUGAGGAGGGUGGAGGCAGUCAGAAACACCCAGCUCCCCUGGGCAUCCAGGGAUGGGGAGGGUGGGGGAGCUGAGUGACUGGCAUCCUCCAUCCGUUCCUUCCUUCUGCCUCCUUCCUUCUUCCUGGCCUGCCCCUCCCCCUUAUCCCUGACAUUCCUCCCCCAGCCCCUGUUUCCAGCAGGCCCCUCUCUGGGUUCUCCAGGUUUCCCAGAGGCCCCUGGGCCCCAAGCCAGGGAGGCCCUCCAUGGACUGUCCUGCCUACACCAGGGAGGGCCACGGCACGUCCUCACCACCAGCCACUGUCUCCGCUGCGGAGUGACUGGCCCUGGGCUAGACCAAGGACACUGCUGUGGGCCCUCUUUCCAGUCAAGCCUGAGGAGGUGAGCUCACCAGUCCAGCCUCACCUUCCUCUCCAAGAUGCCAUGAGACGCUCAGACCGCCGCCUCUCAGGGUCGAACAGGAGCACGCCCGCCUCCCUCUCACCCUCUGCCCUCCCCCGGCCUCUCUGCGGUGACCUCGCACUUUGCCCUCUACCUGGUGGGGAGGGGAGAGCUCAGCCUUCCCCCCGCCCGGGGCCUGAGGCCCACCGUCUGGCUGCAGAGAUUCAUUGCCAAAGAUUCGACAGACACUGAACAAAAUGUGGUGAGAAAACCCCACAGUGAAAAGCCACACGGUUGCUCUGUGACUUUUGCUUCUCCUGUUGCCCGAGUCCCAUCUCAAGCCAAAGACGAGUCAGCGGUUCCACUAGGGACUCAUGGAAGGGAUGGACACUUGGCGACCAUUGGAAGCGCUUGACCCUCUGACCCGAAACUCUCUUUCUACACUGGGCCCUGAGCCCGCUGGGUGCAAGAUAAGCCUUCUGGAGGCUGUGAGGGGCAGGGUGGGGGUGCCUGGAGGGAGUGGAUCUGAGAUCCCAGCCCAUUCUGUCCCUCCCACUGGCUGCCCAGGCCUCUGACCCUGAUUCUCAGUGUCCCCUGGGCCCAGGCUCCUUCUUGGGCCCUGAGCAUCAUGGGAAGGGAGUAAGGAGGGAAAGAAGCAAUAUUGACCACCUGUACCCCACCCCCAGGACUUGCCCCAGGGUGACCUGCCUAAGGGUCUUUGCUCGCUUAGCCAGCCCAACCAGCCACUCCUUGCCGGGGGCCUGCCCUCCUGGCUGGGCAAACGAGAUGGUGCCCGGCCUGGGGACCAGUGGUCUGUUACAGGUUGUGCAUGGGGACAGAGGUGGGGAAGGGACCAGGGGAAUGGGCCAGUCUGUGGGGAAGGGGGACAUGUUCAAAGCCAAGGCCUGCUCCUUCCUUGUGCUCAAAAGGCCAAAGCUGUUCACAUCUGUGCUCAACCAUCUGCUUCAAAUUGAAGUAAAAGCCCCAACGUGUAAAGAAAUCACUUGCCUGUGUUGAGUGGACUCUGUGGGUGACCAGGACUUGGGCCGGUCACUGAGGGG
rnacentral:lncRNA from 1 species